ACUCAUAUUUAAAAGCUGAAAUUUUAGGUUUCAAGUACAGAAAAAGAAACUGAAUACAGAAUGUUAGAAGGCCAAAUAAUUUUACAUAACAAACCAACAAAAGAUUCAAGUUUUGAUGAGUGAAAAAGAAACUUAAUACAGAAUGUUAGAAAGCCUCAGAUGGAGAUGACCCAGUGUUUGGGUUAGCUACAACAGCCUCAGGUUCGACAGCUUCAGGUCCGAUCCCAGCAGUUGUGGCAUUAGGCGCAUCAGGUGGAUUGGAGCUGACUGGUUCAGUUCUUGAAGAGGAUCUGACUCGAAACAAGGCAGCAAACUCUGGAUCCUUCUUGGCAAGGUAAUCAAAGUAUGCGUCAAAACUGGUGAUCUUCUCAGCCUGGUUUGCAAUGAGGGCUUCAACAGCAGCCAGCUUCUGGGAAAGCACAACCGGAUCAUCUCGAGGAAGCACCGGUCCGGCAUGCGCCGAAGACGCCUCAUGCUGCAAUGAACCAGCCCCAUAAAUCCUGCCUUUCUUCUUAGGAGCAACCUGUCACAAACUCAUAACCAAAACAAGCAAACAUGAUCAAAGCAAAGUCGAAACAUAUAGACAUAAUGCAAAACUCUUAGGCCGAAAAUACAAUGAUAUUAUUCAGACCAACAACACAACUGAAUCAGGCCAAAAACACAAAGACACAACAUAUUCCUUAAUUAAUUCUGUCCAUGAAUCCAUAGAGUUUUCACUUAAGUUAUUAUCAGCUUUAAUAGUCAUCAUCCUAGAUGCCAAAGAUAACUUAGAAUGUCCUUCUCUACAUCCCUCGUAGAGUGGUUGAUUUACAGCAUCUAACAUAUCGUAAAAAUGUUGAGCAUCUAGGUUGGGUUCUUCACUAAUAUUUUCAGGAAAUGAAGCAAUAGUUUCAUGAAAUGCAUCUGUAACCAUAUCAUGAAAUCUAUUUUCCUAGUUAUGCCCAUAACCAAAUUGAUCAGGUACUUCCUGACCAUAAUUCGCAUCAUUAUUAAAAUUACUAGGUUGCUCGACACCACAAUUUGUAUUACUAGUUCCUGCGCUAUCUCUACAACCAUCUCCAUGACGUAACCAUACAUAGUAGUUUGGCAUAAAUCCUCUAUUAUAAAGAUGCUUCUUCACUACAUUAAAUUCCAAAUAUUUCUCAUUGAGACACUUACGACAUGAACAGAAUAUUGUACCGUUCUCACGAACAAAUGGUUCGUUUGUCGCUUGAUACAUGAAACCGCGCAGUCCGUCGUAAUACUCUCUCGUCACCUCCCCGGUCGCUUGAUCUCUAUGAUUAUACAUCCAACUUCGUAAUGUGUAAAUCUCAUGCUCUCCGCCCCAAGACAUUCUUAUUUUUGUAAUAAGUUUUUUUUUAAAAAAAAUA
rnacentral:sRNA from 1 species